UACGUAGGUGGCAAGCGUUGUCCGGAAUUAUUGGGCGUAAAGCGCGCGCAGGCGGUCCUUUAAGUCUGAUGUGAAAGCCCACGGCUCAACCGUGGAGGGUCAUUGGAAACUGGGGGACUUGAGUACAGAAGAGGAAAGCGGAAUUCCACGUGUAGCGGUGAAAUGCGUAGAUAUGUGGAGGAACACCAGUGGCGAAGGCGGCUUUCUGGUCUGUAACUGACGCUGAGGCGCGAAAGCGUGGGGAGCAAACAGG
rnacentral:rRNA from 1 species